rnacentral:lncRNA from 1 species
CUGUUAGUUGCUUUGGGGGGCAGGGGAGGGGUCAACUCCAGACAACCAAUCGUGCCUGGAGGAUAAAUUGGGUAGGACCAGAGCAGACAAGAGUAGGGAAGAGAGAGUCCUCUAAACAGCAUCUCCCACAGAGUCCCAAGGAUUUCCAGUACCUCAACCCAAAAUAUAGGUCUCAUGUAUCCCAGGCUGAUUACAAACUCACUGUAUAGCUAAGGAUGGUCUUGAACAUCUGAACUUGUUCUUCCUCUACCUUCCAAGUGUGGGACAACAGAUGUGCACUACCUCACUUGGUUUAUGUGGUG